UUUUUUUUUCCUUGGCUUUGCAGGAUAUGACCCGUGCGUUCUCUUACUGAAAUUCUGUAUGAAUCUUAUAUUUAGCUUAUGUUUCCUUUCUUGAGUAGAAAUUGAAAUUCGCCUCCUAUUCCUACGUUUCUCAUUCAGUUUUUCUCCUUAUAGUCUGUUCAAUUUCAUAUCUAAUCAGAAUGAAGGUGGGAAAUUGCAAUUUGAAAUAAAAAGUUAAAACAAAGUUAAUUAUCGGUAUCAAUUAGUAUCAAUAAGUUCAUAUUCAUAAUUCUAAGCGCCUAUAUAUAUUACUACUUCUGCAUUGUCCUUUGCACACUUGAUAUUUUAAAUUGUAUAGAAUAAUGUUUAUUUUGAAUGUUCUCAUUGAACUUAGGUUUUUCUUUUUCUUUUUCUGUGUCGUGUUGAUUAUUGAAGCAGCUUACUAAGGUGUUUUAACGGGAAGAACAUUCAGGGUAUUCUAUGUGAGAGGCUGAGAGCUUGAACAUCACAAAAUAAGAUCGAAG
rnacentral:lncRNA from 1 species